rnacentral:misc_RNA from 1 species
GCGCGCGUGUGGGUAACCAACCAAAAUCAAUAAUCUAUUAAAAUCAAAAUAAAAUCUAGUAAUCACAAACUAAUAUCUAGUAAUCACAAAUUAAUAUUAAGCCCAUCAUAAUCAAAAUUAUUAUUAGCUUUAGUGAUUUUAAUUUUUAAAUUAGUUUUUUUGGUUUCUUCUUCUUCUUAUGCGCGCGCGCGUGUGUGUAACCAACCAAAAUCAAUAAUCUAUUAAAAUCAAAAUAAAAUCUAGUAAUCACAAACUAAUAUCUAGUAAUCACAAAUUAAUAUUAAGCCCAUCAUAAUCAAAAUUAUUAUUAGCUUUAGUGAUUUUAAUUUUUAAAUUAGUUUUUUUGGUUUCUUCUUCUUCUUAUGCGCGCGCGCGUGUGU